GAGGAGUGUGGCUGGCUGGCUGGUGGAGCUUCAGUGCCUCAGACAGGGCAGCACUGUCAGAAGCUAGGGAAAACAAGAUGGAGGCCUGAGGUGGUUGCUGGGACUCCAUUAGGACAAGGCCCUGAGGAACUGCUGAGCACCAACCUUCAGGAAAUCAAGCACCUUAAGAAGUCUCAGCUUGGGCACCCAAAAAUCACGUGUCUAUGAAGGUAUGAAACUGAAGGCUUCAGCUUCUAUGGCUGUCAUUCUGUCACCUUUCACUUCCUGGAAGGAUCUUUCUCUGUUUGGCCAUCUUCCCUGCUAAAGGCGCCACACCACGGCAAGCGUGCAGCCUGCUCUGCUCAGCUCAGCUCACCAAUACCGCUGUUGUGUCCUGG